ACACUCCCAGUUAUCAUUUUUUAGCCAAUGUCAAUGCUUCAAAAAAUGGCAGAGUUGAUGGAAUACUCCUACCUUAUGGAUUUAGCAGAUAAAUGUGAGGAUCCCUACAUGCGAUUGAUUUAUGCUUCAUCCUUCUUUAUAACAAUCUAUUAUGCCUGCCGAUGAACCUGGAAUCCAUUUAAUCCAAUUCUUGGUGAAACUUAUGAAAUGGUCAAUCAUGGAGGUGUUAAAUUCACUGCAGAACAGCUUGCUUGGGCCAGAAAUUAAGCCAGCUGAUACCAUGAGUAGGGCAAGUGGCUUGGAUAACUUCGGCGUUGUUGGUCUUCAAAGACAAAUAAUGAAAGGCAAGUUGUUGUAACUUCUUUAGAAAUAUUUUUUUUUUUAAUAUUUUAUUUGGCUUCUAUAUCAUGGAUUCUUAUGCCUUGGAAGCAGAACAAGAUGAGGGCUUUGAGAAAUUGGAGGAGACGGUGAUAAGCACGAAACAUAUGCUUUCUUUCUUUAAUUCUUGAAUCGUAACAAACAAUACCAAACAAUACCUUUGAGUUGAAAAUGUCAUAAACUUAGUCGGAAAAAGGCGUUCGGGGGUGAUGUUGAAAGGCAAGUUGUUGUAACUACUUAAUGUCUAUUUUAUAUAUUUUGGUAGUACAACUGUGCAAAUUUCUCUUAAACUAGCAACAUUUAUGUGCGCCUAUGCCUGUUUCUGAUUAUAUUUCUAAGAAGAUGUAGUGAUGUUGAAUGAACUUAUGUAGGGGUUGUUUUGUUGAAAGAAGCCCUCAUCUAAUUAAGUGAGUAGGUUUCCACACACCCAGUCACAAAGUGAUGGGUCCCCUCAAACUAGUCAGCUGCAUAGUGAUGUUGGAUUCUGCCACCAGACAUUUGUAAACAUGUGGCUUCAAGAUAUUGCUACUAUCUUUGUCUUCGUCAUGUGUGUGUAACAUAUUAUAGAACUUUUCAAAGUUCUGUGGAUCUGCAUAACUGUGCAAAGUGUAUGGAUAAAAACCUUCACAGUUUUCCACUAGAGAAAUCUUACUGGCCUCGUAUUUUACAUGCAUCUUGAAACUUGAUCAAAUAUUAGUCAGUAGCUCUCCAUAAGCUUAUGAUUUUCUAUGGGAUGCAUUUUUAAUGCUACUUGGUGCAUGAUUUAUGGAAUGCCAAUAGCGAGUAGCACAUAUGGGUUUCUGGUCUGUGUUUUUUGAACUGAUGUUUCAGUUAGUUUGGGUUCUUGAAGGACUAAUAAGUAUAUAUUAAUCUAUGUUGUAUGCACUCAGAUUGAACAUCAAAUAGAACAAUUAGAUUCAUGUGUUUGAAUUUCUGCUUAUUAUUAGGAUUACUUGUAUAUAAUUCUUAACAGAUCUUUCUUAUAUAACUUAUUUUUAAGCUGAGAUGGUUCCACUUGAAGGGAGCUUAAGUACUGAGUGAGUUCAAUUAUGAUGCUAGUGAACUGGAAAUUUGAUUUGUGCUAUCCAAUGGAUACUUAAAGGUAGUUGUCUGCUUUUGUGUCCAUUUUGUUUAUGAUAAGCUAUAGCAACCAAGAAUCGUUGAUCUUGCAUUGUCCUACUACAUAGUUCCAUAAAGUAUCUGAUUUGGGUGAUGCCACCUAGGCCUCACCUAGCCGUGACAUGUUUGGUGGCUCUUCAAGUCCGGGUGUUGGUAUGAUGAAUGAUGGUCAUAUGGAUAUCUCCAAUCCCAUUCUUUAGUUAUCCUCACCUAGUUAUUUAUUUAUUUAUUCCCAAUCCCAUUCUUUAGUUAUUUAUUUUAUUAGAUGCAACACACAUUUCAUUAGGGGUUUAGAAUUACUAAGCCCCAACUUAUCUAUGCUCUUCAAGUUGUAUGUAUUUUUAUUUUUAUUUUUAUAAUUGUAAAUGCAAUGUUAUUCAAUAAAAUA